rnacentral:rRNA from 1 species
AGAGUUUGAUCCUGGCUCAGAUGACGCUGGCGGCGUGCCUAAUACAUGCAAGUCGAACGAAUCUCUUUUAGAGAUGAGUGGCGAACGGGUGAGUAAUACAUAGGUAACCUGCCCCUGUGCGGGGGAUAACAGGAGGAAACUCCUGCUAAUACCGCAUAGCCAUGAGCACCGCAUGGAGCUCAUGCCAAAUAUCCUUUAUGGGAUAGCGCAGGGAUGGACCUAUGGCGCAUUAGCUGGUUGGCGGGGCAACGGCCCACCAAGGCAACGAUGCGUAGCCGGCCUGAGAGGGCGGACGGCCACAUUGGGACUGAGACACGGCCCAGACUCCUACGGGAGGCAGCAGUAGGGAAUUUUCGGCAAUGGGGGAAACCCUGACCGAGCAACGCCGCGUGAGCGAAGAAGGCCUUCGGGUCGUAAAGCUCUGUUGUAAAGGAAGAACGGCGCAUACAGGAAAUGGUAUGCGAGUGACGGUACUUUACCAGAAAGCCCCGGUACUACGUGCCAGCAGCCGCGGU